rnacentral:misc_RNA from 1 species
AUUUGGGCAUCCUGUUCUUUAGAGAUAUGGGUGCAUUUCUAGAAUCGGAUAAUGAAGUUAUAAUGAUUAGUACGUCCAUCCUGUCUCUAUCACAAGUUGUGGAGUCCAUACCAUUCAAUUGUCUUAAGCGGCCUACGCUUUUCGUUGAUGUGCUCUCUGUUAAAGAACACCCAAAAGAUGUCCUUUUGCGAAUGAUGCCUCGAGAGUGUGACUUGCUGUGUACACACCCAAUGUUUGGACCAGAAAGUGGUAAGGAUGGAUGGGAAGAUUUGACUUUUAUGUACGACAUGGUUCGAAUUAGAGAUCAACCCCUCUGUUCUAGCUUUCUCCACAUCUUCUCAAGUGAGGGUUGCAAAAUGCUGGAAAUGACUUGUGAAAAGCAUGAUAGAUUAGCUGCUCAAAGUCAAUUUCUUACUCACACAAUCGGCAGGAUCUUGUCGGAAAUGGAGG